GACGAACGCUGGCGGCGCGCCUAACACAUGCAAGUCGAACGAGCGAGAGAGAGCUUGCUUUCUCAAGCGAGUGGCGAACGGGUGAGUAACGCGUGAGGAACCUGCCUCAAAGAGGGGGACAACAGUUGGAAACGACUGCUAAUACCGCAUAAGCCCACGCCCCGGCAUCGGGUAGAGGGAAAAGGAGCAAUCCGCUUUGAGAUGGCCGCGCGUCCGAUUAGCUAGUUGGGGAGGUAACGGCCCACCAAGGCGACGAUCGGUAGCCGGACUGAGAGGUUGAACGGCCACAUUGGGACGGAGACACGGCCCAGACUCCUACGGGAGGCAGGAGUGGGGAAUAUUGCACAAUGGGGUAAACCCUGAUGCAGCGACGCCGCGUGGGGGAAGAAGGUCUUCGGAUUGUAAACUCCUGUUGUUGAGGAAGAUAAUGACGGUACUCAACAAGGAAGUGACGGCUAACUACGUG
rnacentral:rRNA from 1 species